UACGGGGGGAGCAAGCGUUGUUCGGAUUUACUGGGCGUAAAGGGCGCGUAGGCGGCCAGCACAAGUCAGUUGUGAAAUCUCCGAGCUUAACUCGGAAAGGUCAACUGAUACUGUGCGGCUAGAGUGCGGAAGGGGCAACUGGAAUUCUUGGUGUAGCGGUGAAAUGCGUAGAUAUCAAGAGGAACACCUGCGGCGAAGGCGGCAUCCUGGACCAACACUGACGCUGAGGAGCGAAAGCCAGGGGAGCAAACGGG
rnacentral:rRNA from 1 species